UACAGAGGGUGCAAGCGUUGUUCGGAAUUAUUGGGCGUAAAGGGAGUGUAGGCGGCUAGGAAAGUCUUCUGUGAAAUCUACGGGCUCAGCCUGUAACGUGCAGAGGAAACUAUCUGGCUAGAGUGUCGGAGAGGAUAGGGGAAUACCCGGUGUAGAGGUGAAAUUCGUAGAGAUCGGGUGGAACACCAGUGGCGAAGGCGCCUGUCUGGCUGACAACUGGCGCUGAGACUCGAAAGCAUGGGGAGCAAACAGG
rnacentral:rRNA from 1 species